GUGUCAGUAGUGUAACGGUAUAGAGCAUGCGCUCUCGUAAAGAGUGAGGUGCGGGUUCUAGUCCCGCCUGGUGCG